GAUGAACGCUGGCGGCGUGCCUAAUACAUGCAAGUCGAGCGAACGGACGAGAAGCUUGCUCCUCUGAUGUUAGCGGCGGACGGGUGAGUAACACGUGGAUAACCUACCUAUAAGACUGGGAUAACUUCGGGAAACCGGAGCUAAUACCGGAUGAUAUUUUGAACCGCAUGGUUCAAAAGUGAAAGACGGUCUUGCUGUCACUUAUAGAUGGAUCCGCGCUGUAUUAGCUAGUUGGUAAGGUAACGGCUUACCAAGGCAACGAUGCGUAGCCGACCUGAGAGGGUGAUCGGCCACACUGGAACUGAGACACGGUCCAGACUCCUACGGGAGGCAGCAGUAGGGAAUCUUCCGCAAUGGGCGAAAGCCUGACGGAGCAACGCCGCGUGAGUGAUGAAGGUCUUCGGAUCGUAAAACUCUGUUAUUAGGGAAGAACAUAUGUGUAAGUAACUGUGCACAUCUUGACGGUACCUAAUCAGAAAGCCACGGCUAACUACGUG
rnacentral:rRNA from 1 species